UACGUAGGGUGCAAGCGUUAAUCGGAAUUACUGGGCGUAAAGUGUGCGCAGGCGGCAGAGCAAGUCGAGUGUGAAAGCCCCGAGCUUAACUUGGGAAUUGCGCUCGAAACUACUUUGCUGGAGUGUGGCAGAGGAAGGUGGAAUUCCAGGUGAUAGCGGUGAAAUGCGUAGAGAUCUGGAGGAACACCGAUGGCGAAGGCAGCCUUCUGGGCCAACACUGACGCUCA
rnacentral:rRNA from 1 species